GCAUUGGUGAUUCAGUGGCAGAGUUCUCAUCUCCCAAAUGGGAAACCUGGGUUCAAUUCCCAGCCAGUGCA
rfam:Loxodonta africana unplaced genomic scaffold scaffold_0, whole genome shotgun sequence.